UCCUUUCAAAUCUGGGUGGAAAAGAUAAGAUGGCGUUUUCCUGCAACAUUGACGAAACUUGACUUUUUUGACGAAAUGACCAGUUGUUGCAUCGUAAUUGAACUGGAAUUGGCCCCAUUGCAGAGAAAUGAUUACUCGAAAAUUUAUAAUGCUCCCGUUGAUCGUCUUGCAUGCACGCCGAUUCCGCCUGAAUUUACCACCUCGGAACAUCUCCGGACUGGAAAACCUGGUGCUUCAAGGUCAGCGGCACUAUCUCCCGUGGAAGCUGCUCUACGACAGGAGGACAUUUAUCAGGUCGAUUUUGUGACGGUGAAGCACUUUUUUAAAAUAGAUUAUAGCCUUAUAUUUAGUUAAUGAAAUGUAUAAGAGAAACUUGAAAUAAUAAAUCAUGGCAACAUGUUCCUUUUUCUUUCCAUUUUAAUAUAAAUUCCUAGUUUAAAAGAAGAAAUGAAUGCAAUUUUGUACCCAGAAUCUGUGUAAAAUAUUACCCAGAUCUGUGUAAAAUAUUACACAGAUUGUCGAUUAAAAAAUUACACAGAUUUGACAGACAACGGUUGUACACA